GACAGAGGCCUCAAGCGUUAGGCGGAAUCACUGGGCUUAAAGCGUGUGUAGGCGGAUCGUUAAGUGUCUUGUGAAAUCCCACGGCUCACCCGUGGAACUGCUGGGCAUACUGGCGAUCUUGGGCCAACUAGGGGCAGCCGGAACAAGCGGUGGAGCGGUGAAAUGCGUAGAUAUCACUUGGAACGCCAAUGGUGAAAACAGACUGCUGGGGGUGUGCUGACGCUGAGACACGAAAGCCAGGGGAGCAAACGGG
rnacentral:rRNA from 1 species